rnacentral:rRNA from 1 species
UACGUAGGGGGCAAGCGUUGUCCGGAUUUAUUGGGCGUAGAGAGCGUGUAGGCGGCUAGGUAGGUCCGUUGUGAAAACUCGAGGCUCAACCUCGAGACGCCGAUGGAAACCAUCUGGCUAGAGUCCGGAAGAGGAGAGUGGAAUUCCUGGUGUAGCGGUGAAAUGCGCAGAUAUCAGGAAGAACACCCGUGGCUAAGGCGGCUCUCUAGUACGGUACUGACGCUGAGACGCGAAAGCGUGGGGAGCGAACAGG